GAAUAAGGACUGUGAAUGUCUGAGCCAUUACAAACUUUGAAUCUAUCUCCCCUUGUAAGUAUUCUCACACUUCUUAUCAAACUGUCUGUACUGGGCUAUCUUGAUUAUCACUUCAAAAGUUUUUUUCACUUACUCAAUUGGCCUCUCAGAGUUGGUAAGACAACUCCCA